CGGGGCUUCCACCACACACCUCACUUCCGGCGGGGGACGGGGCGGGGGGGCGUGUGUCUGCACGAGGUCUCGCGUGAAGUGGCUCUGCGGGAGCGGGAGCGGGAGCGGGAGCGGGAGCGGGUGCGACGCACGCGGCGGCGCAGGCGUCGGCCGCCCCGAGACCCACCGACACCCUUCGGGAGGUCGCAGCAGGCCCGACGCUGCGGGGGCUUCCCUGGAACCGGGCUGUGCCCCCGCGGCCACGUGGGGAGGCGGCGGCAGAGCCCCUCGGAGCGCCGCGUGCCUCCCGGAGGACGGCGAGAGCCGCAGCCCCGGCGGCUGCUGGGCCGCGGAGGCGGACAUUUGGAAACCAGCUCCGUGGAAGUUGUGAGGCACCCAGAGAGCACAAACUUCUAUCUUUUAUCUCAUGGAUCCAAUGUAACUGUUACCGAAGGGGAAAGUGACAUUAAAGAUGUGCAAAAAGUUGGAUUUCUAACUGGACUUCCAGUUGCUUUUUGACAUUGAAUGUGCAGCAGUGCCGUGAAAAUGAAACUCCUCUCCUACAUCUAAAUUUCCAGCAGGCCUUGUGAUAGGGACUGCAGCAUCUUCUGUAAUGAAGGGAAGGGAUGCUUUGACACAAGACAGGAUGGGAUCUUGCCCCGAUGUUGCAUCUAGUCCAAAGUCAUUCACAAAAUCCAUUGAGACAAAAAGGUAGAACUUCCAAACCUGAUCCUAAAGCAAGCUCUAAUGAUCCCACCAGGGAUUUGCUUUCUUCUUCACCUUUUGAGUGAAGUGGACCAGAGGCCAGUUUUUGCUGCUGCAGAUCUGGCAUUGAUAGCAAAGCUACCAUUAGUUUGUGAAAUUGGACAAUUUAGGGGAUCAUGCUGUUUGUAUGUUACAGAACUAUCUUCUUCCAAAGUCUAGUCAUCAGGUCAGGUACUCACUUUCUCUACAUCUUGGAGUUAACAUUCCCAGGAAAGAUCUGACACCUUUGAUAAAAUAUGCAUAUUUACAGUCCUCUAGUUCCUCGAACAUCUCAAUGAAGCAAGCUUACUGAAGAUGGUGUGGAGUGUAAAUCAUUAAGCAAUGACUGUUGAAGUUUCCAAAGGCCUGUGGUGCUGAACAGGAAAUACUCACUUUCAAAGUCAUGUAAGGAGCAAAAUUGCUCCACAUGUAAAUUCUGAAUAUUUUUACCAUGUUGAGGACAACCUUCUUAGAAUAUCAUUCACCCUGUUUUCAGUAUUAAUUGUCAGCAGUUUCCCUUGCUAAUCUAAGAACUAAAAUCAAAGUUUAAUUAAGAAACGAGAACCUGGGGGGAUGAGGAGUUUCAGUGAUACGUUUCUCCAUCUCUAGCAACUAUUGGAUUUUCUCUUUCGCUCAAAGAAUGAGGAAGCAGGUGAUUCUCCAAGGCUGAGUUUUUUGGGGUGUGAUUUUUCUCACAACUGUACACCUAAUUAUCUGUGUGUACCAUCCACAGAGAAUCUGAAGGUUCUGCUAUUGAAACUGACCUGGUAGGCACCCAGGUCUUAAGGAUGAAUGAAUAAAUAACUUUGCUGAAUGCUGCUGAAUAUGUGA
rnacentral:lncRNA from 12 species